rnacentral:misc_RNA from 1 species
AACGCACAUUGCGCCCCCUGGCAUUCCGGGGGGCAUGCCUGUUCGAGCGUCUCCUGGACGAAUCCUCGCGCCAGUGAAGGGCGCGGUCGUGGCGGCGGUGGCGUGCCCGAUAGCGGCGGCCACCGCGCUGGAAUCCAUGGGCGGACGCCUGCCGCGUGGCCGAGCGUGAUAUGUUUCACUGGACGCUCGUGCGCGGCGAGGCUGCCAGCCCAGGCCCGUUUGUCGGGCGGGGCAGAGCGAGACAUUUGGAACUCCUCGAAUCAGGUAGGGAUACCCGCUGAACUUAA